GAUGAACGCUAGCGGCAGGCCUAAUACAUGCAAGUCGGACGGGAUCCAUUGAUAGCUUGCUAUCAAUGGUGAGAGUGGCGCACGGGUGCGUAACGCGUGAGCAACCUGCCUCCAUCAGGGGGAUAGCCUCUCGAAAGAGAGAUUAACACCGCAUAAUAUCAACAGUUCGCAUGUUCAGGUGAUUAAAUAUUUAUAGGAUGGAGAUGGGCUCGCGUGACAUUAGCUAGUUGGUAGGGUAACGGCUUACCAAGGCGACGAUGUCUAGGGGCUCUGAGAGGAGAAUCCCCCACACUGGUACUGAGACACGGACCAGACUCCUACGGGAGGCAGCAGUAAGGAAUAUAGGUCAAUGGGCGGAAGCCUGAACCAGCCAUGCCGCGUGCAGGAUGACUGCCCUAUGGGUUGUAAACUGCUUUUGUCCAGGAAUAAACCUAAAUACGAGUAUUUAGCUGAAUGUACUGGAAGAAUAAGGAUCGGCUAACUCCGUG
rnacentral:rRNA from 1 species